rnacentral:rRNA from 2 species
UGGAAACAGAUGCUAAUACCGCAUAACAACUUGGACCGCAUGGUCCGAGCUUGAAAGAUGGCUUCGGCUAUCACUUUUGGAUGGUCCCGCGGCGUAUUAGCUAGAUGGUGGGGUAACGGCUCACCAUGGCAAUGAUACGUAGCCGACCUGAGAGGGUAAUCGGCCACAUUGGGACUGAGACACGGCCCAAACUCCUACGGGAGGCAGCAGUAGGGAAUCUUCCACAAUGGACGAAAGUCUGAUGGAGCAACGCCGCGUGAGUGAAGAAGGGUUUCGGCUCGUAAAACUCUGUUGUUAAAGAAGAACAUAUCUGAGAGUAACUGUUCAGGUAUUGACGGUAUUUAACCAGAAAGCCACGGCUAACUACGUGCCAGCAGCCGCGGUAAUACGUAGGUGGCAAGCGUUGUCCGGAUUUAUUGGGCGUAAAGCGAGCGCAGGCGGUUUUUUAAGUCUGAUGUGAAAGCCUUCGGCUCAACCGAAGAAGUGCAUCGGAAACUGGGAAACUUGAGUGCAGAAGAGGACAGUGGAACUCCAUGUGUAGCGGUGAAAUGCGUAGAUAUAUGGAAGAACACCAGUGGCGAAGGCGGCUGUCUGGUCUGUAACUGACGCUGAGGCUCGAAAGUAUGGGUAGCAAACAGGAUUAGAUACCCUGGUAGUCCAUACCGUAAACGAUGAAUGCUAAGUGUUGGAGGGUUUCCGCCCUUCAGUGCUGCAGCUAACGCAUUAAGCAUUCCGCCUGGGGAGUACGGCCGCAAGGCUGAAACUCAAAGGAAUUGACGGGGGCCCGCACAAGCGGUGGAGCAUGUGGUUUAAUUCGAAGCUACGCGAAGAACCUUACCAGGUCUUGACAUACUAUGCAAAUCUAAGAGAUUAGACGUUCCCUUCGGGGACAUGGAUACAGGUGGUGCAUGGUUGUCGUCAGCUCGUGUCGUGAGAUGUUGGGUUAAGUCCCGCAACGAGCGCAACCCUUAUUAUCAGUUGCCAGCAUUAAGUUGGGCACUCUGGUGAGACUGCCGGUGACAAACCGGAGGAAGGUGGGGAUGACGUCAAAUCAUCAUGCCCCUUAUGACCUGGGCUACACACGUGCUACAAUGGAUGGUACAACGAGUUGCGAACUCGCGAGAGUAAGCUAAUCUCUUAAAGCCAUUCUCAGUUCGGAUUGUAGGCUGCAACUCGCCUACAUGAAGUCGGAAUCGCUAGUAAUCGCGGAUCAGCAUGCCGCGGUGAAUACGUUCCCGGGCCUUGUACACACCGCCCGUCACAC